CACGUAGGGGCCGAGCGUUGUCCGGAGUUACUGGGCGUAAAGCGCGCGCAGGCGGUUUCGCGCAUCCGUGGUGAAAGCCCCGCGCUCAACGCGGGAGAGUCCAAGGAGAUGGCGAGACUGGAGGCCGGGCGAGGCCGGUGGAAUUCCGGGUGUAGUGGUGAAAUGCGUAGAGAUCCGGAGGAACACCAGUGGCGUAGGCGGCCGGCUGGACCUGUCCUGACGCUGAGGCGCGAAGGCCAGGGGAGCAAACGGG
rnacentral:rRNA from 1 species